UGGAGCCAGAACAAAGGACCACUGAAUCACUCACCUUAUCUUCAUCUCAGAAACCCGAGAAUAACAGGGGUUCUAUUUUUUCUCCCAAACUCAGCACUGCACUUGCCAAGGCCACAAGCUUUAGGUCUGAGUCUGAACUACAAAAGAACACGUCACUCCAAGAAUGGACAAAGGUAAAAUAAUCAGCUGUGACUAAAGUAGCAGAAGAGUGCCGAAUUCUCCUUUCCAAGAAGUUGGAACCACAGCAACUGGGAAGGCUUUAGCUCCUUUUGUAACCAUAUCUUCCCAGAUUCAGCGAGUUCUACCCCAGCCAACUUAACCAGCAAAGCACCACAUGGCUCC